GCGGUGCUCAUUAGGGGUUGUUCUUACUCUCCCUUGCAAUUAUUAUGUAGUUGUAGGGGUGCAUGUAGGCACGGUCCUUGUGAUGCGGUACGUGAUGGUGUGUGAGUGGUAUUUGGUUUGUGUGGUUGGCGGGCUCUUUGCUUGUGCAUUGGACCGUUCACCAACAUACCUUGUCAUUGUAUGCUGCAAGUGCACCAUUUUGCCUUGGGCGACGUGUGGUCCCUAUGUUGGAUUCCGAUUAACGGUAUUGUUGUUGUCCCUUUAAAGAGUGCUAUUCGCUCUACGUCCGUAAAAGGAGGUCGAGCGGACCCUGAAACUUGACUCGUUAUCCUCCUGUUUUGUGAAAACAAGCAUGAUAGGGUUGGAUUAUGAUCUCAAGUUGGACCCUAGGAUACAGAAAGUUGUGUGGGAGUUGAUGUUAAAAAGUUGCAAACCCAAAGCGUUGUACGCUGACGAUGGAUGACAUUCGAGUGUGUUGUGACUCUUUCAUUCUUGAAAGGUUCAUGCUCGCCGAUGUCGACCAAGGAGUGCUACCUGGUUGAUCCUGCCAGUAGUCAUAUGCUUGUCUCAAAGAUUAAGCCAUGCAUGUGUAAGUAUGAAC
rnacentral:misc_RNA from 1 species